CUCCGGGCUUCUCCAGUGAGGAAUAUUGCACAAUGGGGGGAACCCUGAUGCAGCAACGCCGCGUGGAGGAUGACGCAUUUCGGUGUGUCCCCUCCUUUUCUCUUUCCCGAAAAUGACGGUAGCAUAUGAAUAAGCACCGGCUAACUCCGUGCCAGCAGCCGCGGUAAUACGGAGGGUGCAAGCGUUACUCGGAAUCACUGGGCGUAAAGGACGCGUAGGCGGGUUGGAAAGUCAGGUGUGAAAUCCUGCAGCUUAACUGUAGAACUGCACUUGAAACUUCUAAUCUAGAGUAUGGGAGGGGGAGAUGGAAUUAGUGGUGUAGGGGUAAAAUCCGUAGAUACCACUAGGAAUACCGAAAGCGAAGGCGAUCUCCUGGAACAUUACUGACGCUAAGGCGUGAAAGCGUGGGGAGCAAACAGGAUUAGAUACCCUCGUAGUC
rnacentral:rRNA from 1 species